CCUACGGGAGGCAGCAGUGGGGAAUAUUGCACAAUGGGGGAAACCCUGAUGCAGCGACGCCGCGUGAGUGAUGAAGUAUUUCGGUAUGUAAAGCUCUAUCAGCAGGGAAGAAAAUGACGGUACCUGACUAAGAAGCCCCGGCUAACUACGUGCCAGCAGCCGCGGUAAUACGUAGGGGGCAAGCGUUAUCCGGAUUUACUGGGUGUAAAGGGAGCGUAGACGGAAUAGCAAGUCUGAUGUGAAAACCCGGGGCUCAACUCCGGGAGUGCAUUGGAAACUGUUGAUCUAGAGUGUCGGAGAGGCAAGCGGAAUGCCUAGUGUAGCGGUGAAAUGCGUAGAUAUCAGGAGGAACAUCGGUGGCGAAAGCGCUUUACUGGACCAUUAUUGACGCUGAGGAACGAAAGCCAGGGGAGCAAAUGGGAUUAGAUACCCUAGUAGUC
rnacentral:rRNA from 1 species